CAGUACCGUGAGGGAAAGGUGAAAAGCACCCCGGAAGGGGAGUGAAAUAGAACCUGAAACCGUGUGCUUACAAGUAGUCAGAGCCCGUUAAUGGGUGAUGGCGUGCCUUUUGUAGAAUGAACCGGCGAGUUACGAUUUGAUGCAAGGUUAAGCAGUAAAUGUGGAGCCGUAGCGAAAGCGAGUCUGAAUAGGGCGUUUAGUAUUUGGUCGUAGACCCGAAACCAGGUGAUCUACCCUUGGUCAGGUUGAAGUUCAGGUAACACUGAAUGGAGGACCGAACCGACUUACGUUGAAAAGUGAGCGGAUGAACUGAGGGUAGCGGAGAAAUUCCAAUCGAACCUGGAGAUAGCUGGUUCUCUCCGAAAUAGCUUUAGGGCUAGCCUCAAGUGAUGAUUAUUGGAGGUAGAGCACUGUUUGGACGAGGGGCCCCUCUCGGGUUACCGAAUUCAGACAAACUCCGAAUGCCAAUUAAUUUAACUUGGGAGUCAGAACAUGGGUGAUAAGGUCCGUGUUCGAAAGGGAAACAGCCCAGACCACCAGCUAAGGUCCCAAAAUAUAUGUUAAGUGGAAAAGGAUGUGGCGUUGCCCAGACAACUAGGAUGUUGGCUUAGAAGCAGCCAUCAUUUAAAGAGUGCGUAAUAGCUCACUAGUCGAGUGACACUGCGCCGAAAAUGUACCGGGGCUAAACAUAUUACCGAAGCUGUGGAUUGUCCUUUGGACAAUGGUAGGAGAGCGUUCUAAGGGCGUUGAAGCAUGAUCGUAAGGACAUGUGGAGCGCUUAGAAGUGAGAAUGCCGGUGUGAGUAGCGAAAGACGGGUGAGAAUCCCGUCCACCGAUUGACUAAGGUUUCCAGAGGAAGGCUCGUCCGCUCUGGGUUAGUCGGGUCCUAAGCUGAGGCCGACAGGCGUAGGCGAUGGAUAACAGGUUGAUAUUCCUGUACCACCUAUAAUCGUUUUAAUCGAUGGGGGGACGCAGUAGGAUAGGCGAAGCGUGCGAUUGGAUUGCACGUCUAAGCAGUAAGGCUGAGUAUUAGGCAAAUCCGGUACUCGUUAAGGCUGAGCUGUGAUGGGGAGAAGACAUUGUGUCUUCGAGUCGUUGAUUUCACACUGCCGAGAAAAGCCUCUAGAUAGAAAAUAGGUGCCCGUACCGCAAACCGACACAGGUAGUCAAGAUGAGAAUUCUAAGGUGAGCGAGCGAACUCUCGUUAAGGAACUCGGCAAAAUGACCCCGUAACUUCGGGAGAAGGGGUGCUCUUUAGGGUUAACGCCCAGAAGAGCCGCAGUGAAUAGGCCCAAGCGACUGUUUAUCAAAAACACAGGUCUCUGCUAAACCGUAAGGUGAUGUAUAGGGGCUGACGCCUGCCCGGUGCUGGAAGGUUAAGAGGAGUGGUUAGCUUCUGCGAAGCUACGAAUCGAAGCCCCAGUAAACGGCGGCCGUAACUAUAACGGUCCUAAGGUAGCGAAAUUCCUUGUCGGGUAAGUUCCGACCCGCACGAAAGGCGUAACGAUUUGGGCACUGUCUCAACGAGAGACUCGGUGAAAUCAUAGUACCUGUGAAGAUGCAGGUUACCCGCGACAGGACGGAAAGACCCCGUGGAGCUUUACUGUAGCCUGAUAUUGAAAUUCGGCACAGCUUGUACAGGAUAGGUAGGAGCCUUUGAAACGUGAGCGCUAGCUUACGUGGAGGCGCUGGUGGG
rnacentral:rRNA from 1 species